CUCAAAUUGGGCAUGGUGCUCGUGACACUGCAGACAUCUGGAGGUCUUCCUAAGUAAACAUUCAGACAGAUUCAGUCAGAACCUGGUACUGCCUGAGACCAGAGCAGGGAAGUCACUUGCUGCAGGGAUGAAUAGCGCUGAAAGUAGUAAUAAGCAAUGUUCUUCUGAAAGCACAGAUGAGAAGAAGAAUAAUACUGUUAUUUUUCAUGCAGAUAUCAAGCCAGAGAUGGAAGACUGCUUGUGGGAAGACAUAACUGCUUAGCUGCAGCUCAAGGACACUGCAGAAAAUGGGACAAGGACACCAGUCUCGCCAACAGCAGGGGCUCCAGCAUAGACACCUCAAGGAGAUGGCAGAACUUUCCUCCUGAUCUAUGACAUCUUCAGUAAGGAUUCACAUACUUCUCUCUUGCUUCCCCUCCCACAUCCCGCUUCAGCUGACGGAGAUGAGAACUGGGAGUAAAAUGUUGAAGAUCACAGGCUGAGGUUUACUCUCAGCUGUUUCCUCUAUCAUAUACAGGAUGCUAAAGGGUAAGUUUAUUUCAGAUUUGCUCACCCUCAGACAACUGUCCUUUCAGUGGACUUUGCUGCAGGUAAAAUUGAGCAUGAAUUGAAAGGCUGUUGUGUUCAAUACCAUGGCUCAGACCUUUACAUUAUGCUCUUGUACAGUAAUGUCCACUGGGCUUCUCUGUGUAGCAAAAUUUGUUUUAAAAUUUGCUUCAAAAUUUCUGCCAGGAUGCAUUUUUCAUUUAGUUUUUCCCCCAAACCACAAUUUUGUUCAUUGGCAUGACACUUGCCUUGCAUGGCUCAUGCCCCACUGUCUGUGUGUGAGGAAGUCCCUGCAGAACUUGACAUAGUGAGCUCUGAAGAAAUGCAGGUGACUCACAUUAGAAGUGACAUCUAGGAGAUCGUAAGACAAGACAGCCUUGAGUUUUUGAAUCUGUGACACUGUUCUGGGUAUUCACAGUCUUCUUUCAUUCACAACCAAGGACUUCAAGAUCUUUGCAAUGCACCAUUUGUGUAGAGGUAACCUUAACAUAUGUUAGAUCACAAAUGUUCUCACUGUAAGGCUUCUGUACCCUACAUAGUCAGGAUGCAGGGCACAAAUGUAAAUAAGAAUUGAAGUCUUGUGGUCUGGCCAUGAAGUAAGCAGGUGUGACAACUGAAAAACUUACCUUUCCAACUGGAUACUUAGCUCUUGGAAACUGAUCAGAAAGGAUUCAUAAUCAUUAACUUUAAAAAUCACACUCAGAUGGUAUUUUUUUUUCCUUCAAGCCUAAUGUCCCAGUUGAGAGCCAUUUCCCAUUUCAAGAACCAAGUGUUCACUGAUCACAAGAGAUGGCAGGCACUGAUGGUAUAUCUGACAUGGGCACAGGAUAAAGACUCUCUGACUGGUCAGUUCCAAGUGACCCUAUGCAUCCAGCAGGAUGAAGCAAGGGAUUCCUGAGGAAACAUGCACCAUUGACAGAGCACAAGGAAUUCAGUUUCCCCCUAACUGCCUUGUACCUUUCAUUUUUAUAGUCCAAUUCCUCUGAAAGUCCAAAAAUAAGUGACUGUGUAUCUUACCUUAUAGUCUGAUGUGAUGCGGGUUUAAGAGUUACUUAUGUAGGAUGUAAAGGUUUUCUAAGAACCAUGUAAGUACCCUGCUUCUGUACCACACAUGUAUUUCCUCUGAAUGAUACAUUGGCUAAGGAGAUCUAGUCCAAGACCAGGAACUUGUAAAUAUGUAAAGCAAAGGGGGAUACAGAGAGUAGGGAUAGGGAAGGGACACCAAGAAAUAACACGGGCACAAUUUUCCACCCCUGUCAAACCUUUCUCGCCUGCAUGCAAGGUUGAAGUUCUCCUCAGCCUGUCUGAAAGUGGCAGAACAGGGCUUUGCUUCAUCUGCCCCUGGAUAGAGUGAAAAAAGCUAGUGAUAGAUAUGUUGAAUGCAACCCAUACUGGCACCUGUGUUAUUGGGAGCUUCUGGUUGUUUCAUAUAUCUAAAGUUGUUCCAUAGGUUUAGCAAGCAAGCAAUAGUCAUAGUAAGCUUCUUGAUUACUCAAAGAUUUUGCACUUUUGCAGCUUUUCGUGACACAUUUGAAUGCCAUUCAAGCAUUCCUAAUCCAAGUGCAUGGGAUCAAUUCAAAAUAUGCAACAAUUGUGUAGUAUAGCUUCUCUUCUAAGUAUUUCUUCUCAUCUAACAGUUCUCAGAGCACUUGGUCAGUCUUACAGCAGUCUACCUGGUUAUCAUACCUGCUUAUCAUAGGGGAGUUCUUUCAUACUCAGGUUGACCUGAUUUUGAUGUACAAAUCAAAAUUCAAAGAGACUAGCUCAAGUGAUUGCAGUAAGUGAUAAGAAGCAAGAAAGAUGAAAACAACCAAGGGCAGCAACUCCAGGUUUUAGACUACAGCUGAUCUCUUAAUUACCUUUGGUCAUGUUCUGGAAAGGAGGAAUAUACUUCCAGUAUAUAAUUAUCUUUCUCUGCACACUUACAGAGAGAGAGAAAGAGCCACUUGGGGAUAUUGUAGAGGGGUUAUGGAGGUUUAUCAUGCUUCCAUUUUUCAGGAGGUCAGUCCUGUGAAGUUAUCAACAUACACUGCUUUUGCAAGUUAAGAUUUAUUAAAAGCACUUGCCUUGUUGGAGCUCUUCCAUGAUCAGGAAUGUCCAAUAAAUUUGGGGAAAGAAAUGAGGAGUCUGAGGUGUCCUUUGGAUCAUUUAUUGCACUGAAGGCUUCCCUCAGAGAGGAGCUAAACAAUAGCAAGGUCCAGUAAAGGAGCUCCUUAUGGAGAGAGCAGAAAGGAUAACAUUUGACAGGAGGAGAACAGAAAACAAUAAAGGUUUUCAGAAGGAAUAUCGUGGCCAUCAAGAUACACAGAGCUUAAGAAGUAUUAAAGAGGGGGUGUAAAAAUGAAUGUAUGAUACAGUUAGUGCUCCUGCAAGUGUGGUAUAAAACCAGACAGUCUAUUACAGCAGCUCUAAGGACACAGACAGUACCACUUUGCACAAGUCAAUGCAGUAAUUUGCUGCUUACUGUCUUCUACCGGAUAUUCUGUGUUCCACUUCAGCUUUGCUCCUUGACUAUAUAAAUCAUAUCCAUACUGAUUUUCUCCCUCUUGCCUUUUAGGCUCUGUGUCCUUGUCUGAUGAAGAGCCACACUGUCCCCCUCAAAGACUCAACACCCAGGGAAACAUGCAGUACCCAGGACAAGGCAGUGACUCAUCUAAUCCCUGCUGGUGCUGGCCUGCUUUGUAAAAGCACUUGUGUUCCUAUUAUGUCUGUGUGGCAUGGCAUAGCACAGAGAGGAGAUGCUCCUGCAGAAAUCCCCCAGACAGGCCAGCACUCCUGGUCCAAGUCACAGCCUAGGGUUUCAGGAGUUAUCUCAUCCUCCCCAUUGUGCAAGACCAGCACUGCACACUUAGUUCACUGGCCCUGGGACCACAUUAUAAUUUUGACUCAUUAAUUAGAAUUAUAGCCCCUGCUCAAACUUUAUGUCAAUAGUGUGUGUAGCAUCUCACUUAGAGUGCAGUGAGAGUCUUAAACUCAGAAACAAUAUUAUUUAUUUUAUAAAAUCAAAAAAAUAACCCCAAAAAUGCCAGAGCUGGCAUCAUGAAGAUUGAUGUGAGUCCACAGGAAUGAAUCCUUCUGCUGUGUGCCUUGCCUAAAAAUGCAAGGUUAAUCCAGCUGCUUCCAGUGGGGCAAGUAGGAGAUUUCUUCUAGAAAACAUGCCAGGGAUUUCUGUAUUUAUUUUUUUUUUUAGUGCCUUCCAGCAAAGAUCAUCUGCUAGGACCAUCUGGAUGUCAUGAGUUCAGUGAAUUUCCUCUGUUAAAGUUUUAUUCAGGAAACAGCCAAAAUGGCUGGUGAAGCUCUGUGAUGACUGCAGUUCAGUUUCUCAGCAGAUGGAAAGAGCCCUGAGCACUCAAGGUGUACAUGAAGCCUCAAACUUGUUCUGAGUGCAUGCUGUCCUGUCACACUGGGCAAGCUGGAGCUGGCCAGUAGUCCAAGUCCUCAAAGUGCAAGGACACCAGCAAGGAGUGGGCCAGAAGGAAGCACAAGGGAGUUUGGUUGAAUUUCAGAGAGAAAAUCAUUCAUUUAAAGCUGGAAGUGUUGGAUGACUUCAAGAAUUCAGCAAGGCUAGACUGGAAACAACCUCUGAUCUUCCAGACAUUGUCUGAAUUUCAUUCUCUUUGCAUUGCAUACCCUGUUGGAAAUUGAUGAGCUACCACUUAUAUCAGAGGGAAACUCAGCUGUGCCUGGGGAAAACUAGAGCCACUACUGCAGAGAGACAGAGAGACACAGCAGAAAGACAAGCAUUUUGAGAGCACAGUUAAUUAUGAAGUUACCAGGACGUUUUCCAUCUGUUUCUGCAAGGAAGCCUUUCAGUCACGAACCUACAGGAAUGAGGGGAGUUCUUCAAUUGUGGCCUGUGAACAAGACUUCAG